CCACGCUGGCAUCAAUUCCUUAAAUUUUCGGAAAUAUUUUGGAUUUUUUUCCGAACUUAAGUUUUGUUCGCUCUAUCUAUUGUUUAAUUCAUUGAAGCACCAAACUUAGUAAGUCAAAAACAAGUGUUUGACUUUCUUCAUCAGAAAAUUCAUCUGAUUUGAGUAUUACAAUUCUUUUUAUGGAAGCCUUAAAAUUGUGUAUCGAUUCUUCAGACAUGCAAAUGUACUAAAGCUGCUAGUGCUAGCGUGAUAAAAGUUUCAUGUUUCAGCGGUCAAAACUGUACAAUUAACGACGGAUAAUGAGCAAUGAAAUGAUGCUUUGGUCGCAAAGGAAUGUCUGCAAAGCAAAGUAUCCUCAGAUCUAAAUAUUGGUGGAUCUCUUCUUGUAGAAGGGCAACUGUUUCCAUGGAUAUUACAGGAACACAUACCUUGAAAAAAUCUUCAGCUA